CGACUCUCGGCAACGGAUAUCUCGGCUCUCGCAUCGAUGAAGAACGUAGCGAAAUGCGAUACUUGGUGUGAAUUGCAGAAUCCCGUGAACCAUCGAGUCUUUGAACGCAAGUUGCGCCCGAAGCCUUCUGGCCGAGGGCACGUCUGUCUGGGCGUCACGCA
rnacentral:rRNA from 4 species